rnacentral:rRNA from 1 species
GUCCACGCCGUAAACGAUGGGCACUAGGCGUCGGGGGAGGCGACCCUCCCGGUCGCCGUCGCUAACGCAGUAAGUGCCCCGCCCUGGGGAGGUACGGCCGCAAGGCUGAAACUACAAAGGAAUUGACGGGGGCCCGGCACAAGCGGUGGAGCAUGUGGUUUAAUUCGAAGCAACGCGAAGAACCUUACCUGGGCUUGACAUGCACGGGAAAGCCGGUGGAAACAUCGGCCCCUCUUCGGAGUCCGUGCACAGGUGCUGCAUGGCUGUCGU